UACGGGGGGGGCAAGCGUUGUUCGGAAUUACUGGGCGUAAAGGGCUCGUAGGUGGCCAACUAAGUCAGACGUGAAAUCCCUCGGCUUAACCGGGGAACUGCGUCUGAUACUGGAUGGCUUGAGUUUGGGAGAGGGACGCGGAAUUCCAGGUGUAGCGGUGAAAUGCGUAGAUAUCUGGAGGAACACCGGUGGCGAAGGCGGCGUCCUGGACCAACACUGACACUGAUGAGCGAAAGCCAGGGGAGCAAAACGGG
rnacentral:rRNA from 1 species